AUUGAACGCUGGCGGCAUGCUUUACACAUGCAAGUCGAACGGUAACAGGCCUUCGGGUGCUGACGAGUGGCGAACGGGUGAGUAAUGCAUCGGAACGUGCCCAGAGGUGGGGGAUAACGCAGCGAAAGCUGUGCUAAUACCGCAUGUGAUCUGAGGAUGAAAGCGGGGGACCAGGCAGCAAUGUUUGGCCUCGCGCCUUUGGAGCGGCCGAUGUCAGAUUAGGUAGUUGGUGGGGUAAAGGCCUACCAAGCCGACGAUCUGUAGCUGGUCUGAGAGGACGACCAGCCAGACUGGGACUGAGACACGGCCCAGACUCCUACGGGAGGCAGCAGUGGGGAAUUUUGGACAAUGGGCGCAAGCCUGAUCCAGCAAUGCCGCGUGCGGGAAGAAGGCCUUCGGGUUGUAAACCGCUUUUGUACGGAACGAAAAGGCUCUGGCUAAUACCUGGGGCUGAUGACGGUACCGUAAGAAUAAGCACCGGCUAACUACGUG
rnacentral:rRNA from 1 species